GAAUGGAUUCAGAGCUUGCUCUUAUGAAGUUAGCGGCGGACGGGUGAGUAACACGUGGGUAACCUGCCCAUAAGACUGGGAUAACUCCGGGAAACCGGGGCUAAUACCGGAUAACAUUUUGAACCGCAUGGUUCGAAAUUGAAAGGCGGCUUCGGCUGUCACUUAUGGAUGGACCCGCGUCGCAUUAGCUAGUUGGUGAGGUAACGGCUCACCAAGGCAACGAUGCGUAGCCGACCUGAGAGGGUGAUCGGCCACACUGGGACUGAGACACGGCCCAGACUCCUACGGGAGGCAGCAGUAGGGAAUCUUCCGCAAUGGACGAAAGUCUGACGGAGCAACGCCGCGUGAGUGAUGAAGGCUUUCGGGUCGUAAAACUCUGUUGUUAGGGAAGAACAAGUGCUAGUUGAAUAAGCUGGCACCUUGACGGUACCUAACCAGAAAGCCACGGCUAACUACGUGCCAGCAGCCGCGGUAAUACGUAGGUGGCAAGCGUUAUCCGGAAUUAUUGGGCGUAAAGCGCGCGCAGGUGGUUUCUUAAGUCUGAUGUGAAAGCCCACGGCUCAACCGUGGAGGGUCAUUGGAAACUGGGAGACUUGAGUGCAGAAGAGGAAAGUGGAAUUCCAUGUGUAGCGGUGAAAUGCGUAGAGAUAUGGAGGAACACCAGUGGCGAAGGCGACUUUCUGGUCUGUAACUGACACUGAGGCGCGAAAGCGUGGGGAGCAAACAGGAUUAGAUACC
rnacentral:rRNA from 1 species